rnacentral:rRNA from 1 species
UACGGGGGGGGCUAGCGUUGUUCGGAAUUACUGGGCGUAAAGCGCGUGUAGGCGGCCCGGAAAGUCGGAUGUGAAAGCCCUGGGCUUAACCUAGGAAGUGCAUUCGAAACUGCCGGGCUUGAGUUCUGGAGAGGAAGGCGGAAUUCUCGGUGUAGAGGUGAAAUUCGUAGAUAUCGAGAGGAACACCGGUGGCGAAGGCGGCCUUCUGGACAGUGACUGACGCUGAGACGCGAAAGCGUGGGGAGCAAACAGG